GAUGAACGCUGGCGGCGUGCUUAACACAUGCAAGUCGAACGGAAAGGCCCAAGCUUGCUUGGGUACUCGAGUGGCGAACGGGUGAGUAACACGUGGGUGAUCUGCCCUGCACUUCGGGAUAAGCCUGGGAAACUGGGUCUAAUACCGGAUAGGACCACUUCUUGGAUGUUGUGGUGGAAAGUUUUUUCGGUGUGGGAUGAGCUCGCGGCCUAUCAGCUUGUUGGUGGGGUAAUGGCCUACCAAGGCGUCGACGGGUAGCCGGCCUGAGAGGGUGUACGGCCACAGUGGGACUGAGAGACGGCCCAGACUCCGACGGGAGGCAGCAGUGGGGAAUAUUGCACAAUGGGCGCAAGCCUGAUGCAGCGACGCCGCGGGGGGGAUGACGGCCUUCGGGUUGUAAACUCCGUUCGCUAGGGACGAAGCGUUUUGUGACGGUACCUGGAGAAGAAGCACCGGCUAACUACGUG
rnacentral:rRNA from 1 species